CUCCAACUGGGCACCCAGGGAUUCUGCUUCUCUUCAGUCCGACCCUUCUGGAACGUUCUCUUCUUCAGUGUGGGCUGGAGACCCCACUCUGUGGAAGCAGCUGCUAUUGUGUGCCUAGACCCAUAGGAGGCCCAUGUGGUAAGUGGCACCUGGGAGGAACUGAGGCCCGUCAAUGGUCUUGUGAGCUUGCAGUGGAUAAGCCCCAUUUGAACUUUGAGAUGACCACAGCUUCGGUCAACAUUUGAUUCCAGCCUGUGAAAGACACUGAGGAGAAGACCCAGUGUUUAAAAGGUGAUGAGAGGCCAGAUGGGAUGUGAUUGUAUGGGCAUGUAUGCCUCUACAGAGCUCCAAGAAUGUGGGUGCUCCAGAUGUAAGACUCCACUUCCACCAAGUUUCUCAAGAUAACUUACAGGAAACAAACCCAAGAGGAUGUCCAGGGACCAAGCUACACCAUUCCCAGGAAGACUGGCCAAGGCCAGGUGUCCCAUUUUCCUCCGCCCUAGGAAGCCUUCAGCUGUACUGCAGACUAGCUCUGGGCCUGGCGUAGUGGGAGACCUUCCCCUCGAGUUGGGGAAGAAGCAACCUCUCAGUCCCUGCUUUUGAGGUUCCAGAAAAUAAACAUGAAGCACAAAAAUUACCCACACU